AUAUUAUUAAGCGGAGGAAAAGAAACUAACAAGGAUGCCCUCAGUAACGGCGAGUGAAGCGGGCAAAGCUCAACCUGAAAAUCGGAUUCCCAAACGGGAUUUCGAAUUGUGGGCUACAGACGCGAGAUCAGCGUGUUACCCUGGUAUAAGUGAGUCUUAUUGGAAUACUACAUCAUAGAGGGUGAAAAUCCCGUCUGUGACCAGGAGUUAGCCGCGUACGAUCCGUGUUCGCAGAGUCGCGUUGUUUGGGAUUGCAGCGCUAAAUGGGAGGUAAAUUUCUUCUAAAGCUAAAUAUCGACGAGAGACCGAUAGCGAACAAGUACCGUGAGGGAAAGAUGAAAAGAACUUUGAAAAGAGAGUUAAAAAGUACUUGAAAUUGCUAAGAAGGAAGCACUGGAAACCAGUCAUGUGUGCGUACAUAACCUUUCGCUCCUCGAGUGGCGUAGGCAGGUGAGCUCUAAACCUCCUGUCGGCGUCACAAAAGCGCGUUUGGAGCUGUCCGUACACAGAGUCAGAAUCAAUUUGAUCCGUGAGAGAAAGCUAUUGCAACGGUAGGUUCUCCCUGGCAACGGGGUUGGACUGUUUAGUGCGGUAGUGCUAUCAUGGG
rnacentral:rRNA from 1 species